rnacentral:tRNA from 1 species
UGAUGUGUAGCUCAGUGGCAGAGCACUUGUCUGGCAGCUAUGAAGCCCUGAGUUCCAUCCCCAGCACUGCAA